rnacentral:rRNA from 1 species
AGAAUCAACGCUGGCGGCGUGCCUAACACAUGCAAGUCGCACGAGAAAGGGGAGCAAUCCCUGAGUAAAGUGGCGCACGGGUGAGUAACACGUGAAUAAUCUACCUCCGAGUGGGGAAUAACUGAGAGAAAUCUUAGCUAAUACCGCAUAACACUUACGAGUCAAAGCAGCAAUGCGCUUGGAGAGGAGUUCGCGGCCGAUUAGUUAGUUGGCGGGGUAAUGGCCCACCAAGACGAUGAUCGGUAUCCGGCCUGAGAGGGCGCACGGACACACUGGAACUGAAACACGGUCCAGACUCCUACGGGAGGCAGCAGUGGGGAAUUUUGCGCAAUGGGGGAAACCCUGACGCAGCAACGCCGCGUGGAGGAUGAAGCCCCUUGGGGUGUAAACUCCUUUCGAUCGGGAAGAUAAUGACGGUACCGAUAUAAGAAGCCCGGCUAACUUCGUGCCAGCGCGC